AGAGUUUGAUCCUGGCUCACGACGAACGCUGGCGGCGCGCCUAACACAUGCAAGUCGAACGAGCGAGAGAGAGCUUGCUUUCUCGAGCGAGUGGCGAACGGGUGAGUAACGCGUGAGGAGCCUGCCUCAAAGAGGGGGACAACAGUUGGAAACGACUGCUAAUACCGCAUAAGCCCACGGCUCGGCAUCGAGCAGAGGGAAAAGGAGCAAUCCGCUUUGAGAUGGCCUCGCGUCCGAUUAGCUGGUUGGUGAGGUAAUGGCCCACCAAGGCGACGAUCGGUAGCCGGACUGAGAGGUUGAACGGCCACAUUGGGACUGAGACACGGCCCAGACUCCUACGGGAGGCAGCAGUGGGGAAUAUUGCACAAUGGGGGAAACCCUGAUGCAGCGACGCCGCGUGGAGGAAGAAGGUCUUCGGAUUGUAAACUCCUGUUGUUGAGGAAGAUAAUGACGGUACUCAACAAGGAAGUGACGGCUAACUACGUGCCAGCAGCCGCGGUAAAACGUAGGUCACAAGCGUUGUCCGGAAUUACUGGGUGUAAAGGGAGCGCAGGCGGGAAGACAAGUUGGAAGUGAAAUCUAUGGGCUCAACCCAUAAACUGCUUUCAAAACUGUUUUUCUUGAGUAGUGCAGAGGUAGGCGGAAUUCCCGGUGUAGCGGUGGAAUGCGUAGAUAUCGGGAGGAACACCAGUGGCGAAGGCGGCCUACUGGGCACCAACUGACGCUGAGGCUCGAAAGUGUGGGUAGCAAACAGGAUUAGAUACCCUGGUAGUCCACACCGUAAACGAUGAUUACUAGGUGUUGGAGGAUUGACCCCUUCAGUGCCGCAGUUAACACAAUAAGUAAUCCACCUGGGGAGUACGACCGCAAGGUUGAAACUCAAAGGAAUUGACGGGGGCCCGCACAAGCAGUGGAGUAUGUGGUUUAAUUCGACGCAACGCGAAGAACCUUACCAAGUCUUGACAUCCCUUGACGAACAUAGAAAUAUGUUUUCUCUUCGGAGCAAGGAGACAGGUGGUGCAUGGUUGUCGUCAGCUCGUGUCGUGAGAUGUUGGGUUAAGUCCCGCAACGAGCGCAACCCUUACUGUCAGUUACUACGCAAGAGGACUCUGGCAGGACUGCCGUUGACAAAACGGAGGAAGGUGGGGAUGACGUCAAAUCAUCAUGCCCUUUAUGACUUGGGCUACACACGUACUACAAUGGCGUUAAACAAAGAGAAGCAAGACCGCGAGGUGGAGCAAAACUCAGAAACAACGUCCCAGUUCGGACUGCAGGCUGCAACUCGCCUGCACGAAGUCGGAAUUGCUAGUAAUCGUGGAUCAGCAUGCCACGGUGAAUACGUUCCCGGGCCUUGUACACACCGCCCGUC
rnacentral:rRNA from 1 species